GUGGUGAGUUUUCAGUCAUUCCCCUGUCUGGCCGCAUUUAAGAAGGCAGGCAACUGGAAGGCCUCAUUACUAUGGCUGCUGCAGGUUUUUAUCCUCCGAGGCUACUCCCACAAGUUCUGAUCUCCACAGGACCGGGCUUCUAUGAGGAUGAACAUCAUAGACUGUGGAUGGUUGCAAAACUGGAAACUUGUUCUCAUUCACCAUAUUGCAACAAGAUUGAAACAUGUGUAACUGUUCACUUGUGGCAGAUGACCAGAUACCCCCAGGAGCCUGCUCCCUACAAUCCCAUGAAUUACAACUUUCUACCCAUGACGUGGAGAUUAGCAUCCAUGAACACAUACCGGGGAACAGAUGCCAUGCACUGGAGAUUACUGAAUCAUUCCCAGGUUGGUGACACAGUGCAACUGAUCCUGAUGCUGGAGUAAAGGUGACUGACUGAUGGGAGCUCCUGGGAAGGUUUGUCAGGUCAGGGACCACGACCCUCACAGGUCUUGAUAGCCUGGCUGGCUCCUGCCCCUGUGCCCUUGGGGUAGACUUUGCACCCACCCCUCUGUUUGUUCCUCAAGUUUCUAGUUCUACAGCAACUUCUGUCAUGGUCAGACCUACUUUUUACAUGAUCUACUUUCUAUGAGCCUGGCCUAUCUCUGUCCUGACCGUUCUCCCUAGCUGGAGACAAACUGCAUCUUCUCUUGCCCACUUUGUGCCUCUGGCCCUGACCUUAUAGAUGGCUUUUCUUAAGACCCCUCCUCCAUUCAAACUCCUCCACCUGGGCUUCUAGUGCCUUGUGUGGCAGGAGAUUUGUCCCCAUUUACCUUAGGAUGUCUACAGGUGCCUCUGGAGGAGGUACAGAUAGGGACUCUAUGCCCUGUGGGCCUCUGACCUAUCACUGGCAAGAAGUUUGCCUGGUGCUGGGUAGAGGACACUCAGUGCUCAGUAGCUUGAAGGCACAGUGGGAGACUUACAGAGAACAUCUGGAGUACUUGUCCAGGUGCUCAGUUCCUUGGCUCCAGGAAGUGAAUCUGACCCUAGGCCCCUCCCACCCCAACUUGUUUUAAAGUAAUUAAACUUUACUGUUUUUACUUAA